GCAGAUAUGGUUCAUCGGUAGAACAUUGGCUUCCCAAGCCGAAGAGACGGGUUCGACUCCCGCUAUCUGCU
rnacentral:tRNA from 1 species